CCCAGGGAAGUGGUGGAUUCCUUGUCCCUGGAGGUUUUUAAGAUGAGACUGGAUGUGGCACUUAGUGCCAAGGUCUAGUAACCAUGGCUAUGUUGGAACAAGGAUUGGACUUGAUGAUCUCAGAGGUGUUUUCCAACCUGGUUGA